rnacentral:rRNA from 1 species
GCCUAUGGUCACACCACUCUGAACAUGCCCAGUCUUGUCUGAUUUUGGAAGCUAAGCAGGGUUGGGACUGGUUAGUACUUGGGUGGGAGAAAUAUAAUGUCAGAAAUAUGUAUAAUAGUUU